rnacentral:lncRNA from 1 species
GGCUGAUCCUUUCUGCUUUUGCAGGAGAGUCACAACUAAGCAUAUCAUGUUUUAAACUGUUUUAAGAUAUGAACGAUUCUCUUCUUCAAAGGACUCUCGAUGAAGUAUAUUGAAAUUUAAGUAAAAUUGGCGCGUUGAAGUGUAUGGCAAUCCAUCUCUCCAACACUUAGGUAAGUCAAAAAAAACCCUUUCCAACAUUAAUACAUGACUACUUGUGUUAAAUAACAUGAAUUUUCUUCAUUUGCAUCAAUCAGUCAUGCAUUUUGAUGAUUAGAUAGAAUUUUCAAAAGGAUCAGAGAAACGGGAGGGAAUCCAAGUUACUUGACAUAUUACUCAAGAUAAAAAUAAUAAUAAUAACAAAUUGUUGCUGAAAAAGUAACGAUUCAUCUAAAGGCUGCGCCAAAAUCAAAUUUCUUCAAACUGUUCCAAGGAUUCAAUCAUUAUUCUAGAAUUAAUCACAAAUGCUAGAAAAACAUGUUCCUGCACAAGUGGGUGGUUUCUUGCAAAGAAAAAAGUAGGAAAUUAUGAUCACAAGAUAUAUUUUAAUAAUUCACCUGCACCGUUUGCAUUAUCAGGCCCUGUUUGUCCAUCAAAAUGUCCUCAAACAUGUGGCCGCUGUUCUUCUAGUCUCCUUUUCUGGGUCUGAGCCUGAUGCAAAAAGAGCAAUAGAAGACUGAUUCUUCAGCAAUGAAAUUUUCACGUAGAAGAUGAGACCAUAUAAUUGGUUUUCAUGGUUCAAGUAGUCAGGUAAUCACAAGAGAAUCAAGAAAAUGAAUGUAAAAUAUAUUCAAAUAGCAUCAUGAAAAUAUAGUCUCUCCACUAAGCAGCAUUCGGUAAAUAUUAUUGCCAAGGGCUCACAGUAAUCUUUUUAAAAUAUGGGAAAGAAAGUGCCACCGAAGUAGUGAACUACACCCUCCUCUCCAAAAGGGUAUAUCCUUUCUUACAUUGCCUUCUUGAUAAAUCAAGAAAAAAUUAUUAAAAAAAUUGUAACAAGACACAUACCUAGCUCCUACACAACAUUAUAUAAGAGGUCCAAAAUAUAUCCAAAAAUGUAGACAAGGGAUUGUAUGUAAAAUGCAAAAAAUUUAUCAUCUCUGUCCACCACGUGAAACAGUAACAUAAAGAUAAACAAUGAAAGAUUGGCCACACCUUUCCUAGCCACAUCUAAAUUAGUCUUUCCCGCAUCCACUCUGACUAAAAUCAAAAGAGCUCUAAAACAGCUCUCGAAUACAAUGCAAUUUGCAGACUUGCAGUCUAGAAAAUUCUCCUGAUGUCACAUAUAACAUUCCUUUCCAUUCCCAUUUGACAUUGAUGCCGCAAGAAGCUCAUUUCAGCACAAGAUUAACUGAAAAGCCCCAGA